UGUGUGCUCGGGCAGCUGGCCUCGGUUCGGUUUGUGCCGGCAGGAGCCUUCCUCACGGGGGUUGGUGCCUCUUCUCCAGCCCUCGUAGGGCUUUGCCGGCCGGAAAAGUGGAAGGACACCAAGUUUGUGAAUCACCCUCACCAGUUCCUAAACCGAUGGAAUGCAGAACUAGCAGGGAAAGCCUACUUUACCUCACUGGAAUUGCCACAUCAAAUCAGGCCCGUGUAGUUUCCUGUUUCCAAAAUUAGACUUCGUUACAGUUACCAUCUUCAGAUGAGAUAGAAUCAACCUCCUGUUAGGACAGCUGUGAGAUAAUUGCACUUCAUGCUGGAGCUCCUCCUAAUUCCUAAUGAUUUUCAGUUGGCUCUACCCUUCAGGCAGUGAUACAGUUUUUUGCCUCUAGUCAUUAUAAAGCUAAUAAAUUUUCCAGAAACACCAACUUUUUUUUUUUUUUUUUUAAUCUUACUAAUCUUUUGAUCUGAAGAUGUCACUGACUUCUUGUGAAACUGAGUUCAAUUAUUUGUGGUUACCGGCUUUUCUUUGUCUGGAAUUUUGAUUAACAAGAACACAGUCCUUAUCAUUCUUCAUCUGGGAAAACAAAACAAAACAAAAAACUACUGGGUCUGUUUUUUUGAUUGUGUGAGUAAUGUGCAUAAUCUGAGAACCAAUUCUGAUGGCACCUACAUUUACCAUGCUCAUACUGCAAUGCUUGCCCUAGCAGUUCUCUUUCUCUGUCUCUUGCCCAUAGCCUCCACCCAGAAGUAUCUGCAACAGGUACCUCAGAAAGAGGUUAAAAUCAUUAAGACUGGAAAAGACCUCCAAGAUCAUCUGGUCUAACCAUCCCCUUGCCACCAGUAUCACCCACUAAACCAUGUCACAGGUUAUCUUAACACUUACUUUUAAAGAAUGUGAUCUUUAAAAAACAUGUAUGUUCUAUGGUUUCGCCUGAAGAGGAAUGUGACAUACAGCAGAACAAUAAAAAUUAGAAGUUGUAAACCUAAACCUAGAUAACUGUAUCUAACUUGAACAUACCCUGAUAUGAGCAGCUGGAGGAAAAGAGUUGGCUUUGCAGCUGUCUGAGCUAUGGAAGCAUAUGCUCUUCACUCAGUUUCUUCCAAUUCCUCUUCUGAAGUAAAAGCCUUGUAGCUCAUUUCCUGCCUGAGUGUAACUUUUUGCCCAUUUUAUCUGUGAGCUCUCAAACUUUCAAGAAACAGAAUAAUUCUUUGGAUGUUUAGAGAAGCAAAGGAAAGACAUAUAGUUUUUUAUUUGCUACAAGCAAAGUCUUCAAGGAGCAAUUAAAAGCUUGCUGCUCUGUCUCCCAAGGACAGCUUUUGGAAGAAGAGGGCCACAUCUACUGCCAGUAUGUGGUGAAGCAGAUGGGCAAAAGCAUCACUAGGGAGAAAAGAAUGGAGGACAGAAGAGACAUUAAAGCACUGCAGCCUAAGGAUUUCUUCUUAAGGAUGCAAAUUAGAUGUCUUUACAACCAGUCUCUUCAAUAACGAAGAUCUUUUGGGAAAGAAGUUUAUGUAGGAUAUAUGUAGCUCCAGAACAACCUCUGUAAAGCCAAUUACCAGGUCUCAGUCACUCAGCUUUUCCUUCUGUAAAUUCUCUCCCUGUGUUGGUACUUGUUCCCUGCUAGUAGCAGCGAUUGUUGCCGUAUGUCUGCAUGACUUAAAGCACAAGCUCGGUUUAUAAGACACCAUGGCAGCUGAGAUCCAACUUCUGCUACUAUAAAGAUUUCUCUUACUGUAAGUAUAAGCCUGCUAUUGUUUCCUUUUCACAUUCCCUCCAAAGAGGUUUAUGCUUUGUUUUGUUGGGUUUUCUCUUCCACUAACAUCUGUAAAUAUUUUGACUACGCUUCCUGAUGCUGUAGACCAUCCAAAGAUCUUUCUGUGUCCAAAGUUUAUUAUGUCCUUUCAGGACAGUUCAUAAAGAAAAAUAUGAUUUUA